GGGAUCUUAUGCGACUAUUUGAUGAGUAUGGCUCACCUUCAAUUGCUGGGGACAUAGCAUAUAUCGAUUAUCUCUUCUUAGGAGACUAUGUUGAUUGGGGCCAGCACAGCUUGGAAACAAUUACUCUUCUGCUAUCUUUGAAGGUCCUGUUUUGGAACUCUGAAGUUUGUCCAGUUGUGUUCAAGCUCAACUCCAGCUGACUGGUCCAUAUAAAGAAGAUUAUUUGUUUGUAUUUAGUUUAUCUAAAUUGCUAAUUGAACUAGUUCUAUAAUUAUAGUUGUAUAUGUGUAUGUAUUGGGCCUUGAAAAGAACAAGUUAGCAAAGAACUAGAAAGAGGAGGAUUCCAACCAACCUCAAAACAUGUUAGGAAGAGAAGUACAUAGAAGAUAAUUCAAUUUGCUUUUUUAAUGAAAUUUUAGGUGGUUUUACCUUGUGUUUCCUUCAUUGGAUUUGAACUCUUAUGAAUAAUUAUGGUUUCUCCAUCUGUUUAACAACUCCUCAAGCUUCCAAGGUUCCCUUUAACUUUCACAUGUGUUUAUGUGAGGAUGAGGUAACCAUUAUUACAGCAAAAAAGAGAGAAUAUGAUUGAACUACAUGAAUAUUUUUCAUGCAUGUUUCUUUUUAAACAAAAGUAU